rnacentral:sRNA from 1 species
GAAGAAGACCCUAUCUUGUUACACCAACCAAAAGUUUUGUGAGAGAGUGACAGAGCCACUUUACCCUACUCUGGAUGUGAGUCGGGAGAAACUUAGAAGAGUGGGAAGACGCCGCUGCUACGCAAGGGAAGGAAGUCUUUUUGGGCCUUGCUUGGGAGCUUUAGAGUCUUGGAUACUCUUUCAAAACUAGAGAAUUUUUGUCGAAUCGAUGGUGUUCAUAUUGCGAUACGAUAGUGUGUUGAGUCUCUGCGAAGACUGAGGUUCAAGUGUAAUCAUUUCCUCGUGCGCGAGGACUAGAGAGGGUUGGAUGUCUCGCCCAAUGACUUUGGCUCGUGUGAGUGCGCCUAACCGAAGUUUUUACUCGUAAUUCCAUGAGGAGUUGGGGAGAUAGGUCUGAAGUUGCGAUGGAAGACGACUCGAAUCGCCCUGUUUUGCGAAACAGGUUUGGUACGACAAAAUUCAAGGAAACAACAGAAGCUUGUGAGAAUGAUCUGAGUCGUUGUUUUGAAUUCUGUGAUGUAAUGUUAUGACUAUGAUAGUCUGGGUGGUGAUGAUAUGAGUUUAUGAGUUGAAUAAUGUGAUGUAUUAUAAGGUUAUGACUAAGAUAAUCUAUGUUAUGAUGUUUUAA